UGUUGAGAAUGUUGGAACCCUUUCU
rnacentral:piRNA from 1 species